CUGUCUAUGGUAUUUUAAUUACCUGAUCCAAAUUUCAGAGGGAAGGAGAUGGAGCGGGAGACCUCUAAUUUUGCAACUGAAGUGUUCUGCCUGCAGUCAACUGUGUUCCCAAUUGGUGGGUGCCAUCAGUGGCAGAUGCAAGUGAAAGGAAAAAAUCCCUACAUUUUUCCAGAAGAUGAAACAGAGGUGAAGAAUGGCUCAGUGAUGAGAAUCUAGCCUGUGACUUUGGAUACAGUUGGGCAGAGAGGACAUAUGAUGGAGCAACCUGCUACUGGAUGAGGAAUGAAUAUUCUUGACAAAUGCAGGGUGGACACAAAGCCCAUCUCCUGGAUUAUUUUACAGAUAUGUUACCAGAGAGGUGUCUCUUUUAUACUUUGACACUGCAUGGUUUUUAUAGUUUAUCAUUCCAAAAAAAAGUGUUAUUGAUUUGUUCUCAUCUAAGUACCUUUAUGCACAGAGUUAUUGUAGGUAGGUGCACCUCCAGUGGCCAUGAGUCCUCUAUGCAGAUAUUCAUUUCAGUAAUGAUUAUGGUUGUCACCAAUUAUGCUACAGU